rnacentral:RNase_P_RNA from 1 species
GUGACGGACUGGAUGAUCGCCACGGCGCUUGGUUUGAUGGAAACAUCAAAUCGAGGGCAUGCCGUAGAGGAAAGUCCGGACUCCGUAGGGCGCGGUGGUGGGUAACGCCCACCGCCCGAUUGAUCUCGGGAAGGGAAAGUGCCACAGAAAACAGACCGCCACGGCGAACUUCGGUUCGCUGGGGUAAGGGUGAAACGGUGAGGUAAGAGCUCACCAGCAGGUCGGGUGACCGGCUUGGCUUGGCAAACCCCACUGGGAGCAAGACCAAAUAAGGGAGCAACGUUGCCGGACUGACCGCAAGGGAGGGCCGGCGGCGGCGGAUUUGCCCGAUCCGGAUGACUUCCGGGUAGGUCGCUAGAGGCGCCGGGCAACCGGCGUCCCAGAGAAAUGAUCAUCCGGGGACGUUCGCGUCCCCGACAGAAUCCGGCUUACAGGUUCGUCACGAUC